UCUAAGGAAAUCGAAAAAUAUAAAAACAAUUAUUUUCGAUUUUAAAAAAAUCGGUUAAUGUAACCGUCCUCAUUUCUCUUCUUUUAAUGUCUCUGAGUAUUUGUAAAUAAGGGGCCGGUAGCUCAGGUGGUUAGAGCGCACCCCUGAUAAGGGUGAGGUCGGAAGUUCGAGUCUUCCUCGGCCCACCAAUAUUACGGGGGAUUAGCUCAGCUGGGAGAGCGCCUGAUUUGCAUUCAGGAGGUCAGCGGUUCGAUCCCGCUAUCCUCCACCAAAAUUUGAGACAUUUAGCUUUUUUAAAUCGUGAAUAUUAUUAAUAUCAAUAUCUAUAUCCGAUUGUUUUCAUAUUUUUUUGAAAACAAUCAAAACAAAAAUUUGAAUUUUUCACAGAAAAGUUUUUUUCUGUGCAUAAAU
rnacentral:tRNA from 1 species